ensembl:lncRNA
GAAGAAUAUUAUGUAAAUGUGAGGGCUUAUUAUUGUCAUUAUCAAAACAAAUGAGUCUUUGAGGAAAGGGGAAAUAGCUUCAGUCACCAGUCUUCAGAGGAACCUCCCUGCUGUCUCUGCUUCCAUCGUGAUGUGCUCCGGGCUCUGAACUAUUGCUUAAGCCAUGUUCCUGUCAUACUAGUCUUACUGCCUUAUAAUGCUUCCAUCAAGUUAUGGCCUACAGCAGAUCCAGACAAGCCCAAGGCAAAACAGAGAUUUAUUCCUUUGGUGGAGCCCAUCCAAGCCAACCGAAGAGCAGCCACCAAAGACAGCAUGGGGUUGAAUGGGACGGAUUCUCCUUGUUUCAUUUGGAAGGUCUUGUUGACCCCCAGUGAAAAAAAGACAAAGUGCCCCUCCUCCGACCUGCCAUGCCAAGAAGAUGGAUCGAGCCAUGUGGCCAACCAAGAUUUAUGCAGUCAGCUGUUUUUUCUGAACCUUGGCCCCAUUGGAAGCUUCACGCUCAUGUUUCUCGGCAACCUUUGGGCGGCAACAUCCUCUCCAUCAGCUUUCAGAUGCCAGUGUCUCACAUUCCCAAGAAUCCAGACUGUUUUCCAUCUAUUCCUGUUGAGUAAGGGCACUCUCCCUCCUGAGCUUCCUUCCAGCCUAAACUCCUCUCCUCUCCCUUCCUUUUUCACAUUUCACAAUGAGGCCCCCAUUAAAUAUUCAUCAAAUGAAUGAAUGAACAACCUUUAGCCCCUUUCAUGUAACUGAAUUCAAUAGAAAGUCAUAAAACUACUCUUUCUUUAAAAAAAAACAACAAAAGGCAUUUCCGGAUCUAGAACAGGUCAUGUUCCAAAACUUUAUUCUUAAGUCAGUUUUUUUGUAAGUUUCCAGGCCCUUUUCUGCAUAGAAUUGGCCUUAACCAUUCUGUGGAGGUUCCCAGGCCAAUCAACAGAAGUCACCGCACUGAGCAUGUACACCAUUGUAGAAUACAAUCGCCUAUAGCACACAGAUCAUAGAAUGGUAGGGUUAGAAGGGACCUCAGUAUCUCGCUCAGUGCUGGGUACAAAGUAGCUAUUUGGAUACGGUGCUGAUGAGCAUAUUGAAAGGACAUGGAGCCAGGAGAUCUGUCCUCUGAGGACUUUCCAGGAUGUGACAUGCUCUCAGUCUAGGUUGGAUUUAUCAGCCCAACCCAAAGGUCCCAACAGAUUCAACAACCAAUAACAUCCAUUAAGCACCUAAUUAUAUAUAUAUAUAUAUAUAUUAUAUAUAUAUAUAUAUAUAUAUAUAUAUUAUAUAUAUAUAUAUAUAUAUAUAUAUAUAUAUAUAUAUAUAUAUAUAUAUAUAUAUGUAUAGCAUGGUGGUAGAUAUUUCAGUUUCCCCCAUUUGCAAGAUAUCAAUAAUACUAGCACCUACUUCACAGGGCUGCUGUGAGGAUCAAAUAAGAUAAUGUACAUAAAAAGCAUCUUAUCAAUGCUAGCUAUAAUGAUGAUUGUGGUAGUGGUAAUAGAGAGGUGGAUGACAGCAAUGGAGAGAUAGCGGGGGCAAAGACAGGAUGUUCAAGUCCUGUCUUUGACCCAUACUGGCUGCAUGACUCUGGACAAAUCGCUUAACCUUUCAGUGUCCCCACACAACUUUCUAAGACCAAGAUGCAUCGUUGUUUCUGAUCUACGCAGUAGAGGGAUUUUUUUUUCUUAUUUCUUUAAUCCCUCUCCAAAUCCCUUAUACCAGAGGUACCCAAACUUACUUGGCCUACUGCUCACUUAAAAAAAAAUUACUCAGUGCCCCCUUGGAAGUCUAUUUUCUUUAACUCUUUAAUGUUUUGGGCUUUUUUGAAAUUUGCAUCAUUUCAAAAAAAUAAAAUUUUUUAAAUGACUUCUCUUAAAUUUAAU